UACGUAGGUGGCAAGCGUUGUCCGGAAUUAUUGGGCGUAAAGGGCGCGUAGGCGGCUCGACAAGUCCCGCGUGAAAGCCCCCGGCUCAACUGGGGAACUGCGCGGGAAACUGUCGGACUUGAGUUCGGGAGAGGGAAGCGGAAUUCCGGGUGUAGCGGUGAAAUGCGUAGAUAUCCGGAGGAACACCGGUGGCGAAGGCGGCUUCCUGGACCGACACUGACGCUGAGGCGCGAAAGCUAGGGGAGCAAACGGG
rnacentral:rRNA from 1 species